GAAGUGUCUGAAGUUUUGAAUAACUGCUACAAGGAGAAUCAGCAAUUGAUGUGAUCAGGUUCAAUCCUGUGUGUGCAUCUGUGGAUCUGAAGACUGAGAACUCUGUCUCUGUGCAGAUGACUUGACUUUACCUAGACAACGUUUUUUACAUAAUCUGGUCCAAUUGUGAGUCCUUUUCUGCUUUCACAAUGGCGUACUCUAGGAUGCUUCAGACUGCCCUUCGCUGAGACUGUGUUCUGAAUAG
rnacentral:lncRNA from 1 species